rnacentral:rRNA from 1 species
GGCUUAUUGAUAAUAAUUUUAGGUCUAACCUGCCCAAUGAUAUAUUAUAUUAAAUGGCCGCGGUAUUUUGACCGUGCAAAGGUAGCAUAAUCAUUAGUUUUUUAAUUGAAAGCUUGUAUGAAGGGUUUGAUGAAAAAAUGACUGUCUCUAUUUAAGUUUUUUUGAAGUUUAUUUUUAAGUAAAAAAGCUUAAAUAAUCAUAGAAGACGAGAAGACCCUAUAGAGUUUAAUAAUUAUGUAAAUAAUUAAAAUUUUAGGAUUAUUAUAUUUAUUUAUUUAAUUAUUUAGUUGGGGUGAUUGAAAAAUUAGUUAAACUUUUUUUGUAUAAAAACAUUGAUUAGUGAAUUAUUGAUCCUUAAUUUAAGAUAAAAAGAUAAAAUUACCUUAGGGAUAACAGCGUAAUUUUUUUUAGAGUUCUUAUCGAAAAAAAAGAUUGCGACCUCGAUGUUGGAUUAAAAGAAAUUAUUGGUGUAGAAGCUAAUAAAUUAGGUCUGUUCGACCUUUAAAAUUUUACAUGAUCUGAGUUUAAACCGGUGUAAG